AAACGGAUUUAAUUAAAUAAUAAAUUAAAAAUAUAUUUAAAAAUAGAGAAAUUAUAUUAUAUCACUGUAAUUAUAUGUAUUUUGUUUAUAUAAAAUAACCAACUUAUAAUAAAAGGUAAAAUACAUAUGUAAUUUUCUACUUUAACCAACUUUCUCUCCAUUUUAGAGGGAUAAUAUGCGAUGUAAAAUAACCACUACUUUCCCUUCAAUCACAAUUUUUCAUCGGGGAAAAUGUACUGCCAUGCUUAUUUUUCAACUGAUUAUUUUGCAUUCCCUCCAUUUUCUCCUCAUCCAAUCACAGCAGUGAUUGUUUAUGUAUAGAUUGGGCUAUGCUUAGAUUUGUCAUGUCUUCCUUAUUUAUUUGUUGUUUGAUAUUUUUGAAAGAGAUAGAUGUGGAUACAAUAUCAGAAGCAAUACCCAUUUAUGUGUUGAGACCAAAUUCCAAGGGCCAAGAUUUAUGAUCAUCAAGUGAAA
rnacentral:lncRNA from 1 species